GGGGGGGGGGGGGGGGGGGGGGGAGGCGGGGGGGUCGGGGGGGGGGGGCGCUGUGGGGGGGUACUCGGGGGGCGCAGGGUGGAUUGACAGGGGAGUAACCUGCCCUGGACCUUGGGAUGACUUCAGGUAACUGGGGCCAAUGCCGGAUAGUAUCUCCUGUUGCACGGUUGUUCUUGGACAGUUUCGGCGGUUGGGGAUGGCCUCGCGGCUUAUGAGCUUGUUGGUGGGGUAGUGUCUUACCAAGGCUCUGACGGGUAGCAGGCCUGAGAGGGUGAUCGGCAAAAUUGGGAUUGAGAUACGGCCCAGACUCCUACGGGAGGCAGCAGUGGGGAAUAUUGCACAAUGGGUGGAAGCCUGAUGCAGCAACGCCGUGUGCGGGAUGACGGCCUUCGGGUUGUAAACCGCUUUCGCUCAUGACGAAGCUUUGUGUGACGGUAGUGGGUAAAGAAGCACCGGCUAACUACGUG
rnacentral:rRNA from 1 species